ensembl:lncRNA
GACAAUAUACAAGAACAGUAAUAAUAAACAAAAAGGACCAGAGGAAGUGUGUGUUCAUUUAAAGAAAUGUUUGUCUAUGAAUUAAUUAGAGAACAGUCCAUUUCUCUUGGCAUUAUGUGUCUUUUCUGUGAGGAAAAUGAGUGAGAGUUGCUCUGUCUGCAUUCCUUUGUGCAAUAAAACCAGUGUUAUCAGCAUUGGUUGCCAUGGAACCAGAGGCCUGUUCUGCCUUUCUGAGGUGUUAGAUGCAUUUCGGGGGAAGGGUCCACAUACCCUCAUAUUUGGUUUGUUGAUUGAGGGGUGUUACAGAGUAUUUGUUAAAUAUAACAACAACAACAAAAAAUAAUAAUAAUUGUGUGUCUGAUUGGUCCAGACGCUACAACUGAGAUACUACUUGUUGGGUUGAAAGUUUGUCUUAGUAACUGAUCAUGCCCCACUGAAAUGGAUGUCUCAAAACAAAGGGAAAAAUGCAUGAGUCACUUGCUGGUAUCUUCAGUUGCAGCACUUCCAGUUUACAGUGGAACAACGUGUUGGGAAUUCUCAUGCAAAUGCUGAUAACAUGUCCAGGAGGCAUUACUGCUUCAGGAUGAUAUACCCCUGGAAAAAGGGGUAUAUCGGGCGUCAGCACUGUCCCUCACAAAGCAACAUAGCCACCGUCAGCACCAUGGAGAGCCACCAUUAGAGAAGGCCUCAAAGUGUGCUGUUCAGGAGCAGCUCCUCAAAAACAAAUGUGAUCCCUUUUCCCCUCUGACAGGGAGUCUUAGGUGCAAGCUGUUGGGCACAAUCAGCCACAACAUAAAAGAGGACAAAGAGGCCACAGUAGGAGAGCAGCAGGUAAGCCGGGCAAACACACAGAACUUGUUUCUCUGUCCAGGCGUUAGACCAGUCAAACUCUUGGGGAUAUAAACAUCAACAGGGACGUGAGUAGACUGAACCUCACCCGCUAAUCCAUCUCUUUUGCCUACCUUUUUCAGAUGUAAUUUGAUGUUAGGCACAAUUCAAGAGAGAAGAGAUACUUUAGUUCCAGUUUCUCUCUAUUCCCUCUCCCCACCAUUCUAAAAAAAAAAAAAAAGUUAAGUUUUGCCUUGAUUCAGCCUCUGCCUCUUGCGUCGUUCCUUUUAUCUUCCUGAGGUUACCCACCAAGUCCUGGGUCUCUCUCUCUCUCUCUCUCUCUCAGACAGUGAGCGCGUAGCACACCUCCAUUUUCCUGCGUCUCCUGUCAUUUUGGCGGGUCUUACAGGAGGAACGGUGUCCCCGCCUGCACCGUGAGUUGACUCAUUCUUUCCUUCCUACGGCGGUGACAAUGGAGCAGAUGGUGCUGGUCUCGAAAGCCCACGACGACGCUCUCUGUGUAAUGUUCCCUCACACUGUUUCCGAUAACGGCUUUGCUUUGUCUAUUCACCCAGACGGGGCCGGCAGUGCUGUCUCUGCUAGAAUGUACAGCCUCUGAUUAGCACAAAUAGCACUCAGUAAUGUCUUUAGGCUCGU